rnacentral:rRNA from 1 species
CCUUAGAGUUUGAUCCUGGCUCAGGAUGAACGCUGGCGGCGUGCCUAAUACAUGCAAGUCGAACGAAUCUCUUUUAGAGAUGAGUGGCGAACGGGUGAGUAAUACAUAGGUAACCUGCCCCUGUGCGGGGGAUAACAGGAGGAAACUCCUGCUAAUACCGCAUAGCCAUGAGCACCGCAUGGAGCUCAUGCCAAAUAUCCUUUCGGGGAUAGCACAGGGAUGGACCUAUGGCGCAUUAGCUUGUUGGCGGGGCAACGGCCCACCAAGGCAACGAUGCGUAGCCGGCCUGAGAGGGCGGACGGCCACAUUGGGACUGAGACACGGCCCAGACUCCUACGGGAGGCAGCAGUAGGGAAUUUUCGGCAAUGGGGGAAACCCUGACCGAGCAACGCCGCGUGAGCGAAGAAGGCCUUCGGGUCGUAAAGCUCUGUUGUAAAGGAAGAACGGCGCAUACAGGAAAUGGUAUGCGAGUGACGGUACUUUACCAGAAAGCCACGGCUAACUACGUGCCAGCAGCCGCGGUAAUACGUAGGUGGCGAGCGUUAUCCGGAAUCAUUGGGCGUAAAGAGGGAGCAGGCGGCCGCAAGGGUCUGUGGUGAAAGACCGAAGCUAAACUUCGGUAAGCCAUGGAAACCGGGCGGCUAGAGUGCGGAAGAGGAUCGUGGAAUUCCAUGUGUAGCGGUGAAAUGCGUAGAUAUAUGGAGGAGCACCAGUGGCGAAGGCGACGGUCUGGGCCGCAACUGACGCUCAUUCCCGAAAGCGUGGGGAGCAAAUAGGAUUAGAUACCCUAGUAGUCCACGCCGUAAACGAUGGUCACUAAGUGUCGGGGGUCAAACCCCGGUGCUGCAGUCAACGCAAUAAGUGACCCGCCUGAGUAGUACGUUCGCAAGAAU